rnacentral:lncRNA from 1 species
AAAAAUGUUGAAUAUCAACAAUGGGUUUCAGUGCUGUAUUGUUGAGUUUUGUAUGAACUAAUCUAGCUUCUCUAAAAAAAAAAAAAAAAAAAAAAAAAAGAAAGAAAAGAAAGAAAGAAAAGAAAGAAAGAAAGAAAAAAAAAGAAAAGAAAAAAAAGAGAACCACAGCUUUGGACAAAAGUCUAUAGCCAGUGCAUUUGAAAACUCCCCUUGCACCAGGGCUGACUGUAGCUGGGGGAAGACAUUUUACUCAUUUGCUCUUUCCUUUCAUACAGUCAGCUGGUCCCUCUUCUCAGGUGUAGAUCACCUAUUAUAAUUUUACCUAAUUUUGAUACUCUGAUAAGGAAAGUCCCAGGACUUAUCAGCUGGGAUAGGCCUCACUUACAAGACAGCUCUGUUCAGUAUUUGGAAGAAAGCCUGACAGGUUUCUUCGGAAAAGUGGCCAUCCAUGGAAUGAAUGAAAUGUUCUCUUUCUAUUCCAGGGAUUGCAGUGGCAAAGCUAGGCUAGGUCUUGGAGGCUGGUGUAAGGCGAUGUGGGUGAAGGCAGGAGGCUGAUGGAAAGACUGGGGGGAAGAAAAGCCGAAAUGGAUUCACGGUGCCUUGGAUGAAGGACGAGAGGGGAACUGCAAGCUCCUUCAACUGGUUCUGUCCGGUGAGAAGUGAUCAAGCUUGGGCUGACAAGAGGCUCAGGGAGCCCUCACGUUCUUUCGCUUUUUUACCUGCCAAUCAAACUGCUACAAGACAACACCCUGAUCUGGCAUGGACAUAUCCAACUUAGAAAUAAUGUUUCAUUCAAGAUAAGGCUCGUGGCUUAGGAGAUUGUGACCUGGCUUGCAUCAUUCUAAGACUUCUAUCGUCUGUUUUCAAAACCCAAGGAGGACCUCCUUUUCUGUGUGAUAGUUCCUCAUGCUUUGCCAGCCACUGGGUCUUUAAGGAAGCUUGCCAAGAGUUCCCGGCUGGGAAGGACAGUUCGAGUUCAUCAUAGACAAUGAGCUGGCACCACAGUUUAAGUGACUCACCAACCUGGUUGCCCACUUCAAAAUGUCAAGAACCACACUAUCUAAUUGAAAGAACUGUGUUUUAGCAAAGUGUAAUUGGAUCGCCUGGCAAGAUCAUCUCAAACUAUGUCUCUGACCUUGCCUUUCAGUGGCUAUUUUGAGCACAAGAGGAGAAAGGAAAUGAUUCCUGAAUUAUAUCUUGUUUUUAAAAAUUAAGAUUAAUUAAUACUUGGUUUUAUGUUCAUUCCAUUGUAGGAACUUAGUGAUUAUUACAAAACAGUCAAAAUAGGUCAUAGCAAAAUGAACGUUUAAGAUUAGGUUAAAACAUUCCUCUGAAAUUUUAGUAUUCACUUUUGAAGUGUCAAUUACUAUAUUUCUGUAAUUUCUCAUUUUUUUCUUGGCUUAGAGUCAAGAUGAAAAAUGAUAUUUGAAUCAAAGACAUUGUUUUGUUAUAUAGCCACUCCUUUCUAAAAUGCAAAUCCACCCUCCCCUCACCAAUGCUUUAUUCUUUGUGCGCGCACACACACACACACACACACACACACACACACACACACACAGACAUACACAGAACCAGCACCCAAAUGGUAGAGGAGGUCCUUCCAAGACUUCUAGGACCUGGAUCAUGUAAGCAGUAGAUGAGAAAAUGAAGUAAGAGAUAUAGAGUAAUAACAAUAAAAGUCAAUGAUUUCAUUUUACAAAAAAGUCAUUGUGUAGUACUCAGAUAUUUUUAAGAGCAAGUAUUAUUAUGACUAAAGUAUAUUAUACUUCUAAAUUAUUAUGAUUCUCAUCUAAUUUCAAGCCACACAUAGGCGCCAUUUGAAAGCAUUUUGUGUUACAACCUAUCAACAAAAAUCAACUAAUAGUUUUAUAACGUGCAUAGGUUUACCCCAUGGGGAAUUAAAAUUUUUAUCUGCAAGUAUUUCUGUUGUUGUGAGACUUUAGGACAAGACAACAUUUGGUGUUAACAUAGAAGAAUAUUCUAUGGCUUUUUUAGCUUUAAAGUUCAUUACUCUAAAAUAAAGUACACGUGGUAUUUUUUUCUUCCUAGUGUUCUCUUAUUAUAUGUAGAGUAUUUUCGGUUGUUGUUUUUAACGUAUACAUUAUUUUUAUUAAGUCAUUUCAUAAAAGAUAAGAUAUAUACUAAUAGACCCUUGGUUUUCUCCUAAUUUAAUUAUUUCAAGUCAAGCAAAAUUGGGCAAUUUUCUUUCAGGAAAAAAAAAAUAUUGAGCAUGAUUUUGAGGUAAAACUGAUUAUUUACAGCAUCUUUUCUCUAAUAGGCUAACAUUUAUGAUGGAUCUUAUUUCAAAGUUGAUUAUUCUCAAAGAAAAGUGGAGAUAUUAGAAUUUCCGAGUAAAUUGCAUUGUUUUAAAAAGUACUUUAAUGCAUUGUUCACAUUGUUGCCAGCUAUUGACCAAAAAAGAGAAGAAGAAAAAAGAAAUAAAAAAAGCAGUAUCUGCUCCAAACGUCAAGUUUUGCAGUUUGAAAGACUUGUACAUUAUAAUUGUUUUUUUCUUUUUUGGAAAGCAGUAGUAAUUAAUACCAAAGGCAUAGACAAUUUAGGGCCAUAACCUCCCUUCCCCCCUCUCCACCUUUUUUUUUUUUUUUUUUUUUUUUUAACUUUAACCAUGAUAGGCAUCUCUGCAAGGUAGGUUUUAACAUAUUUUUUUCCUAAUUUUUUUCCCUCCAUUCAGUAAGAAGGAUAAGCUUUUAGAGUACCCAGUCACCGUGGUAACUGCCAAAAAAAUUCUCCUGAAGUUUGAAGAGGUCAGCUAGCAGGGUCAACAACCCUGGCCUCUCUCUGAGCUCGGUCUAGCAUGCCCCAGCCUGCGGUUGGAGUGUCAGGCCAGAUCUGACCCUGGGAGGUGGACCAUUCUGGCUCUGAUAUAAAUUUUUCGAGUCAGUUCAUGGCCUGGACUCUCCAGGUGGCCUCCAAAAUCGAUUUUGACCCCCUGACCCUGUCUCACGGAGGCAUAGCAUCCACCCUAAGUAAGGAUUUAGCCAGGAAUGACAGCUUUCCACUGAGUGUUAUUGGGGACAGUAUAAACAGUUUGGAAAGCAAGUAAGGAGGUGUGAGGGCUAGCAAUCAUUAAAAGCACAUUAAAAAACAAUUUUUAAAAAUCUUUAUUAGAGAAAGUUGUAAAUGCAUAUCUGUUACAGAAUUCCUGUGAUUUGUAGAGUUUUCUAGUCAGUUUUGAAUAUAAAUAGGUCACAUAUCUUUAUCUUUUUGCAUACUUUGUUACAAAUAUGCAAAUAAGAUAGGCAUACUUGCUACAAAAUAGGUACAGCAGGAAUGUAAUAUGUUCAGAAAAGGCAAACUGGUUAUUAAAACACAUUAACAGGUAAGGAGUUUCUAAUAUUUUAAAUACUAAAAUUUUACAUGUGUAUUUUGAAGUUUUUAAAAUGGAAAAAUAAAGAACCUUUAAAAA